ACUACAUCCUGUAUAUUAUAUAAUAUAGGAAAAGUUUUACAAAACGCGGCGCAACAGAAGCCGGCCGCGGUGGGGGCGACAUAUAGUGUAACUAUUACCGCGGUAUACUUACUUACUGUGCAUACGUAUGUAUGCGGCAAGUAACCCGGAGAUUGCAAGAGUCUGUAGGUGCGGUGGACGAACGGAGCAAAAUACUGUUUAAAACUUGGCCCCUGCGCUCCUCGUAUACAACACAGUGUAAUAAUGUAAUGCAGU